rnacentral:rRNA from 1 species
GACGAACGCUGGCGGCGUGCCUAAUACAUGCAAGUAGAACGCACAGUUUAUACCGUAGCUUGCUACACCAUAGACUGUGAGUUGCGAACGGGUGAGUAACGCGUAGGUAACCUGCCUGGUAGCGGGGGAUAACUAUUGGAAACGAUAGCUAAUACCGCAUAAUAUUAAUUAUUGCAUGAUAAUUAAUUGAAAGGCGCAAUUGCACCACUACCAGAUGGACCUGCGUUGUAUUAGCUAGUAGGUGAGGUAACGGCUCACCUAGGCGACGAUACAUAGCCGACCUGAGAGGGUGAUCGGCCACACUGGGACUGAGACACGGCCCAGACUCCUACGGGAGGCAGCAGUAGGGAAUCUUCGGCAAUAGACGAAAGUCUGACCGAGCAACGCCGCGUGAGUGAAGAAGGUUGUCGGAUCGUAAAGCUCUGUUGUAAGAGAAGAACGGGUGUGAGAGUGGAAAGUUCACACUGUGACGGUAUCUUACCAGAAAGGGACGGCUAACUACGUG